rnacentral:rRNA from 1 species
AGUUUGAUCCUGGCUCAGGAUGAACGCUGGCGGUCUGCUUAACACAUGCAAGUCGAACGGGCUCUUCGGAGCUAGUGGCGGACGGGUGAGUAACGCGUGAGGAUCUGCCCUUAGGACGGGGACAACAGUUGGAAACGACUGCUAAUACCCGAUGUGCCGAGAGGUGAAACUAUUUGGCCUGAGGAUGAGCUCGCGUCUGAUUAGCUAGUUGGAGUGGUAACGGCACACCAAGGCGACGAUCAGUAGCUGGUCUGAGAGGAUGAUCAGCCACACUGGGACUGAGACACGGCCCAGACUCCUACGGGAGGCAGCAGUGGGGAAUUUUCCGCAAUGGGCGAAAGCCUGACGGAGCAAGACCGCGUGCGGGAGGAAGGUCUAUUGACUGUAAACCGCUUUUGAUAGGGAAGAAGAUCUGACGGUACCUAUCGAAUCAGCAUCGGCUAACUCCGUGCCAGCAGCCGCGGUAAUACGGGGGAUGCAAGCGUUAUCCGGAAUUAUUGGGCGUAAAGCGUCCGUAGGUGGUUUUAUAAGUCUGUUGUCAAAGCGCGAGGCUUAACCUCGUACAGGCAGUGGAAACUAUAAGACUAGAGUGCGGUAGGGGUAGAGGGAAUUUCCAGUGUAGCGGUGAAAUGCGUAGAUAUUGGAAAGAACACCGGUGGCGAA